rfam:Nematostella vectensis strain CH2 x CH6 NEMVEscaffold_5252_Cont49387, whole genome shotgun sequence.
AAGACCGUACUUACUAGGAUCAUUUCUAUAGUACGCGUC